UGGGGAAUAUUGCACAAUGGGCGCAAGCCUGAUGCAGCCAUGCCGCGUGUAUGAAGAAGGCCUUCGGGUUGUAAAGUACUUUCAGCGGGGAGGAAGGUGUUGAGGCUAAUAACCUCAGCAAUUGACGUUACCCGCAGAAGAAGCACCGGCUAACUCCGUGCCAGCAGCCGCGGUCAUACGGAGGGUGCAAGCGUUAAUCGGAAUUACUGGGCGUAAAGCGCACGCAGGCGGUCUGUCAAGUCGGAUGUGAAAUCCCCGGGCUCAACCUGGGAACUGCAUUCGAAACUGGCAGGCUAGAGUCUUGUAGAGGGGGGUAGAAUUCCAGGUGUAGCGGUGAAAUGCGUAGAGAUCUGGAGGAAUACCGGUGGCGAAGGCGGCCCCCUGGACAAAGACUGACGCUCAGGUGCGAAAGCGUGGGGAGCAAACA
rnacentral:rRNA from 1 species